rnacentral:tRNA from 1 species
AGCCCCGUGGUGUAGCGGUCAAGCAUGCGGGACUUUGGCGAAGCCCCUUUGGAAAAGGUGCUUUACCCCCAAAGGGCUUCGAGGAGAUCCCGCGACGGGGGUUCGAAUCCUCCCGGGGCUG